rnacentral:misc_RNA from 1 species
GAUGAAGAACGCAGCGAAAUGCGAUAAGUAAUGUGAAUUGCAGAAUUCAGUGAAUCAUCGAAUCUUUGAACGCACAUUGCGCCCGCCAGUAUUCUGGCGGGCAUGCCUGUUCGAGCGUCAUUUCAACCAUCAAGCCCCCGGCUUGUGUUGGGGACCUGCGGCUGCCGCAGGCCCUGAAAACCAGUGGCGGGCUCGCUAGUCACUCCGAGCGUAGUAGUUACAUCUCGCUCAGGGCGUGCUGCGGGUUCCGGCCGUUAAAAGCCUUAUUUACCCAAGGUUGACCUCGGAUCAGGUAGGAAGACCCGCUGAACUUAAGCAUAUCAAUAAGCGGAGG